rnacentral:rRNA from 1 species
GACGAACGCUGGCGGCGUGCCUAACACAUGCAAGUCGAACGGGACUUAGCGGAAUGCGACUUCGGUCAAAGGAAACUAAGUUUAGUGGCGAACGGGUGAGUAACGCGUGAGGAACCUGCCUUUCAGUGGGGGACAACAGUUGGAAACGACUGCUAAUACCGCAUAACAUAACGAGAUCGCAUGAUUUUGUUAUCAAAGCUUUAUGUGCUGAAAGAUGGCCUCGCGUCUGAUUAGCUAGUUGGUGGGGUAAUGGCCCACCAAGGCGACGAUCAGUAGCCGGUCUGAGAGGAUGAACGGCCACAUUGGGACUGAGAUACGGCCCAGACUCCUACGGGAGGCAGCAGUGGGGAAUAUUGGGCAAUGGGGGAAACCCUGACCCAGCAACGCCGCGUGAAGGAAGAAGGCCCUCGGGUUGUAAACUUCUUUUACCAGGGACGAAGGACGUGACGGUACCUGGAGAAAAAGCAACGGCUAACUACGUG